UACGGAGGGGGCUAGCGUUGUUCGGAAUUAUUGGGCGUAAAGAGCUCGUAGGCGGUGUGUCGCGUCGGUCGUGAAAACUUGGGGCUUAACCCUGAGCUUGCGGUCGAUACGGGCAUCACUGGAGUUCGGCAGGGGAGACUGGAAUUCCUGGUGUAGCGGUGAAAUGCGCAGAUAUCAGGAGGAACACCGGUGGCGAAGGCGGGUCUCUGGGCCGAUACUGACGCUGAGGAGCGAAAGCGUGGGGAGCGAACAGG
rnacentral:rRNA from 1 species